UACGUAGGGGGCAAGCGUUGUCCGGAAUCAUUGGGCGUAAAGCGCGCGUAGGCGGCCCGGUAAGUCCGCUCUGAAAGUCCAGGGCUCAACCCUGGAAAGCGGGUGGAUACUGCCGGGCUAGAAUCCGGAAGAGGCGAGUGGAAUUCCUGGUGUAGCGGUGGAAUGCGCAGAUAUCAGGAGGAACACCAAUAGCGAAGGCAGCUCUCUGGAACGGUACUGACGCUGAGACGCGAAAGCGUGGGGAGCGAACAGG
rnacentral:rRNA from 1 species